rnacentral:rRNA from 2 species
GGACUACACGGGUAUCUAAUCCUGUUUGCUCCCCACGCUUUCGUGUAUCAGCGUCAGAAUCGGCCCAGUGCCCCGCUUUCGCCUCAGGCGUUCCUCUAGAUAUCUACGCAUUUCACCGCUCCACCUAGAGUUCCAGGCACCUCUACCGACCUCAAGCGACGCAGUAUGCCGAGCCGUUCCGCAGUUGAGCUGCGGGCUUUCACUCGACACUUACGCCGCCGCCUGCACACGCUUUAAGCCCAAUGAUUCCGAACAACGCUCGCCACCUCUGUCUUACCGCGGCUGCUGGCAC